GGUCGGUAACAUUAAACAUAAGACACAAAUUUCUUUAAUAACUGGUGCAUUUUCCAGGUCCCUAUUAAAUGUUUAUGGUUACCUUAAGCUUCAGAUUUCCUCGUAGAGCAUAAAAUGACUUUUCAAAGAUUAAAACAGUGUUAAACCUUUACAGAUAAUAGAAUAAAUCUAUUUUGUUUCAAGUGCAUUCAUCAGUUUGAAGAAGGAAUUAUAACCUUUCU